rnacentral:rRNA from 1 species
GACGAACGCUGGCGGCGUGCCUAAUACAUGCAAGUCGAGCGCAGGAAACUGACGGAACUCUUCGGAGGGAAGGCAGUGGAAUGAGCGGCGGACGGGUGAGUAACACGUAAGGAACCUGCCUCAAGGAUUGGGAUAACUCCGAGAAAUCGGAGCUAAUACCGGAUAGUUCAUCGGACCGCAUGGUCCGCUGAUGAAAGGCGCUCCGGCGUCACCUUGAGAUGGCCUUGCGGUGCAUUAGCUAGUUGGUGGGGUAACGGCCCACCAAGGCGACGAUGAAUAGCCGACCUGAGAGGGUGGUCGGCCACACUGGGACUGAGACACGGCCCAGACUCCUACGGGAGGCAGCAGUAGGGAAUCUUCCACAAUGGACGAAAGUCUGAUGGAGCAACGCCGCGUGAGUGAUGAAGGUUUUCGGAUCGUAAAGCUCUGUUGUAAGGGAAGAACACGUACGAGAGGGAAUGCUCGUACCUUGACGGUACCUUACGAGAAAGCCACGGCUAACUACGUGCCAGCAGCCGCAGUAA